AUGCUUGCUUGGGCAGCUCCUGUACUAAAAUUGGAACAAUACAGACAAGAUUAGCCAGGCUUCUGUGAAAAGAUGACUACAAAUCCAUAAAACAUUCAAUAUCCUUUU
ensembl:snRNA U6 U6 spliceosomal RNA